CCUACGGGGGGCAGCAGUGAGGAAUAUUGGUCAAUGGGCGCAAGCCUGAACCAGCCAUCCCGCGUGCAGGAAGACGGCCCUAUGGGUUGUAAACUGCUUUUCCAGGAGACGAAUAGCUUUUACGUGUAAGAGUAUGACUGUACCUUGGGAAUAAGCAUCGGCUAACUCCGUGCCAGCAGCCGCGGUAAUACGGAGGAUGCAAGCGUUAUCCGGAUUCAUUGGGUUUAAAGGGUGCGUAGGCGGAUUGAUAAGUCAGUGGUGAAAUCCUGCAGCUUAACUGUAGAACUGCCAUUGAUACUGUCAUGUCUUGAGUUUGGUUAAGGUAGGCGGAAUGUGUAAUGUAGCGGUGAAAUGCUUAGAUAUUACACAGAACACCAAUUGCGUAGGCAGCUUACUGGACCGACACUGACGCUGAGGCACGAAAGCGUGGGGAUCGAACAGGAUUAGAUACCCUAGUAGUC
rnacentral:rRNA from 1 species